GGAGAGUGCCCCAACUGGCCAACUGCUUGACGAACAAUCCUCUCCGUUCUCGCAGUGGCGGGUUUCGGCGACAGCGCCGCCUCCGAUGCUCGGCUCGAGCGCCGCGUACAGUGGAGGGAGCGGAGCUCGAAGGGCGAAGGCGCAGGGGGGCUCGCGAGUCGCUAUCCAGCCCACGCCGUCACGCACUCACGCAGCUGCACCUUGCAUCCCAGGAAGACCUUGUUUGCUUCGUCCAAGAUCUUAUCACCGUGCUUGAUCAGUUUGUUUGAGUACCAUGUGAGGAAGAACUUCCCCUUGUCGGUCUGGUAUGUUCCGUUAUCCGCGAAGAACUGGGUCUUCUCAGGAGUGUCAUUGUACGUCCCAGCAUCAUCAGGCAAAUCCCACUCAGGAUGCCCAGCCUCUUCUGCUGCUGCUUUGAAGUCUGCUUGCAGGUACACCAAGAGGGCAGGAGUUUCAAGUCAGCUGACCUGAAUGGCAGUUCUCCCAUGGAAGAGAGGCUGGUCGUCCACUCCAAGCGUGAGAUACUCGAUGUUCGUCAGCCCACUCCGGUUGGUGUAGAAGAUGUCGGGGUUGCUUUUGCCGACGUCCCGCACCCACUGCGGGAUCGGGAUGUUGACGACGUCGCCGACGUUGCCGCCGCACUGGUGGCACGACAUGAUGGCCUGCAGCUUCAGCCCGGCCUCCUGCACCAGCUUGAACACCUGCCUGUAGGCGCUCCAGUCGUAGACUCCCGGCUCCUUCCCUUCCACCAGCCCCCACCAGACGUCGAUCAUGACCCCGUCGGCGCCCGCCUCCGUCAGCUUCUUCAGCUGCGCCCUCGUCUCGUCCUCCUUCUCGAACGUGUUGUCGACAGUGAUGACAUCCAGCUGCAUGUUCGCAAGCCAAGCAGAGUUGACAAAAAAAGGGGGGGGGGGGGGGGGGGGGUGUAAAUCAUUCAGCUUCAUCUUUCCUUUUUUGGAAUGGCACGAUUCGUUUAGGUCGAUCUCUCCUUUUUUUUGUUCGUUAUACAAACUGGUAGCAGUAUGCUAAUAAUGCUGCAGCCGCACAUGAUUCUUAAGCAGCUUACCGGGAGCAUGACGUAGACCUGGACAUAGUUGGCUAGCGCGUUCCCCGCCAUUGUAGCUGGCUGGCUACGCUCUGAGAGACCUCACUGGCUUGCUCUGCUUGGUGGUCGCUGAGCUUGGGCCUUGAUGGAUGUUGCAGGGAGCUUGAGGGUCUAUUUAUACAGCGGAGGCAGGGGAGAUCUGGAAUGCGACUUUGCAGCGCUUCUCCAGCGAUGCAAAAACCUAUCUUUCCGUAUAGUCGCCCAGGAAUGCGCAUGUGCAGGGUGAGCUGAUGAUUUUGGAUAUCGAUACCAUCCCGAGCUGGCAUAUGUAGCACAGCAGGUUGUUGCCAUUGUGAUUCGCGGGGACUGCGUCCUGAAGAACUUUGGUUUUGACGCCUUGUAUUUGUACGGCAAUGAUUGGGAUGAACAUGGCCGGUGAGAAUUUUUUAUUUUACAUUUUCUGUCCUCGUUUGCCACGUGAGUGUUGUCUGAUUCUGAUGUAAAACAGCAACGAGUAAAAAAAAAGUAUAAGUGGAACCUGUAAUGUGGGAUUGUAACAAAUAUAUAUAUUGCAUGGCUUAUUAUAACAAAAAAAAAAAA
rnacentral:lncRNA from 1 species